UGUUGGGAGAUAUCUGGAAUGUCUGAUGUUGGGAGAUAUUAUCUCCCAACAUCAGACAUUCCAGAUAUCUCCCAACA
rnacentral:pre_miRNA from 1 species